UUGAUAAAUGGAUUUAUACAUAUUCAACAUUACAACUGAUAUAUACCAGCUAGCUGUAAGUUUAAAAUGCAUGGUUCACAAAAUCUAAUCAACUCCACCGUUAGAAUUGAGUGCAUAUCCUCACACAGUGAAUCCACAAGAGUUAAUCAUCAAGGCAUACUUACCUAGUAAGAUAAAAGGGCAGUCUCAACAUGCUUACAAUAAGCUAUAAACCGGAGUAGCAUCAGCAGAAGAACAAGAAGAUGUGCACUCGACCGAAGAUUUUGUGGCGCUUUGAGAAGGACAACACAGAGGUCAUGCGUAAAAUACUGAAAAACUUGUUUUUCCCUUGCAAGUCCAUUAUGAGAGAUGUUCCCAAUGUUCAGAAAUCAUGGUAUAUGGUUUGUUACAGAAACCUCUGAAAUUUUGGACUCAAAUUAAAGAAGAAAUUGUAAAAAGAGAAGGCAGAUCCAUGUAUAUAUAAAAACAUUGAAUUGAUGUUUGAGUAUCGUACUCAAGGACUGCUGAAUACUAAAUGCUUCUUAUCAUUUUCUCCUAAUCUGGUACAUAGAAAUAAAUUGGGAGAAUUACCCAAAAGGUGAGUUAGAAAAAAUAGCUCAUACAUGAUGAUAAGUAUAGGUUGAUAAAUGAUGUGGCCCUCAUACAUGAUGAUAAGUACAGGUUGAUAGGCAAUCAAAAUAACUCAUACAUGAUGAUAAGUACAGGUUGAUAAAUGAUGUGGGCCUCAUACAUGAUGAUAAGUACAGGUUGAUAGGCAAUCAAUGGUAUAUUUUUCAGCUUGAAAAAAUUAUUGUCACUUUUGAACAAUUGACUGUUUAAAAAUUUGCUAUUUUUUUUUCAAAAAAAUUGAGAUUUUUUAAAGAACCUUACAAAAAAAAUAAUUUUUAAUAUCUCAUAAAUAAAAACUAUAUCUUGAAGUUAUUAUAUCGUUUUAUAUAUAAAACAUACAAUUAAAAACUUUGUUAUCAUAAUAUAAUGAAUAAUUAUUUUUUACGAGCACUCAUCAAUUGAAUAAUAUAUAAAUAUUCAAUUGACUAACACACACCUAUUAAAUGAAAUAACUCACAAUUAUUCAUUGAGUAAUAUAGCACGUGAAAAAAUUAAAUAAAAAUAAAUUAAAUUAUGUUGUAAUAUAUUGUAAUGAUAGUGUAUUUAUAUUAUAAGUAUAAUACAUUUAUGUUGUACCUAUGUUUUAUUAUAAAAGUAAUAAUUCUAAAAAAAUUUAUUCAUACCCUGUUGGUAUUAACACAUCAUAUUAAUAUAUUAACAACAUUUAUUUAGUGUUUUGAAAUUAUUUAAUAAUUUUUGUAUAUAUAUAUAAACUACGUGAAUUCAAAUUAGUAUUUCAUUUUAUUUCAGAAAUUAUUUAUGAUAUAGGUAUGUUGUAAAAUAUGGUAUGAUCAUACAAAAUUACCAUUUUUAUAAAAAAUUUCAUAAAUUUCUUAAUUAAGUUUUAUUGUAAUGUAUUGUAAUGUAAGUGUAUUUAUAAUAUUGUAAUUAUAACAUAUUUUUGUUGUGUCUAUAUUUUAUAAUAAAAGUAAUAAUAUUGAGGAUCACCUUUUAUACCUUAUUAAUAUUCAACAUAUCAAAUAGAUUAACAUCAUCCACUCGAUGCAUUAAGAAAAAAAAAUUAUAUGAAAAUUAAAAAAAAAAAAUUAUAUAAAUUUUUUAAAAUUAUUUUAUUAUAAAAAUAAAAAAUGAUUAAACAUUCUCUAUCAUUUUCUUAUUCUUUUUAGAGAAUCUAAAUGAAAAAUUAAACAUUUUAUCUUUCUUAAAUUUAAUACAAAAACAUAAUUUAUCAAUUUAAAAUUAUAUAUAUAUAUAUAUAUAUGUGUGUGUGUGUGUGUGUGUGUGUGUGAAAAUCAUCAUUUUUAUUAUAUAAUUAUAAAACUUAUUUUUUUCUUCAUAAAAUUAAAAAUUAGAAUAAAAAUAAAAAAGGUAAAAAAACAAUAAAUGAUAUUUUGAAAAUAUUUUUUAAAAGUGUUUUUGUUUUAAAUAGUAAAUUUAAAUAACAAAUUAUAUAUAAUUGUAAGGGUUAAACCCAAAAUUUUGAUUUAAAAUUUAAAUAUCAAUAAUUACAAUAAAUGUAUUGACAAAUCAAGUGAAGUGCUUUAAAUGCUUUGAAUUUUAAAAGUUUUAGUUAAAGUGUAGUUUUGGUAUAUUAAGCCUAUUAAAGUACUCCCCAAGAAUUAUUAAAAGAUGUCACCCUUUCUAAUAAUUGUUCUACCUAACCCACCCUUUUGGGUAAUUCUCCCAAAUAAAUUUGGGUAGGAGGACAAUUUAAAUAUCAAUAAUUACAAUAAAUGUAUUGACAAAUCAAGUGAAGUGCUUUAAAUGCUUUGAAUUUUAAAAGUUUUAGUUAAAGUGCAGUUUUGGUAUAUUAAACCUAUUAAAGUCCUCCCCAAGAAUUAUUAAAAGAUGUCACCCUUUCUAAUAAUUGUUCUACCUAGCCCACCCUUUUGGGUAAUUCUCCCAAAUAAAUUUGGGUAGGAGGACCACUGACAUUUUUUUAUCAAUGGAGUAAUUCUGGUAUAAUUUCAUUCUGACAACUUAUGAGGUUAGUAAUUCAAAACAUGUUAAGUAUUAGUUUGAUAUGCAUUAUUGAAUUAUUUCCCAGUAUUUAAUCUUUUGAGACAAGUUAUCAUAGUUUGGUUCCUAGCUAAGACCUCUUUGUCUGGCUAUAAUUAACUUAUUUGUUGAUGUCAUUAGUUUCAUACACUAUUUUGUUAUGAGACUUCUCUAUAAUUAUCACUUCAUUAAACUAAAAAUACCAAGAGGUUGGUCAAUUAAUUUCCAGCAUGCAUAUAAAGGAAAGGAAAAGGAAAUGAUGGGAAAAAAAAUGAAAAUAGAAGAAGUGAUUUAGGAGGAAUGAUUGCCUUGUUUUAGACUAGCUACCAUUGCAUACAUGGGAUACCUCAUCACAAUUUGUGCAAUGCUUGAAAUGAGCUAGAGCAGAAAAUAGAAUGUAAACAAAUACAGUUGAAUAGUCCAGCUUCAUUUGUCCAUAGCUUGCCUCUAACCCCAAACAUUUAUAUAUGCUUGCAAAGUUUUUGGUCGAAAAUUUUCAUAAAUUCAUUGAAUCAUUGUACAUGUUUUAUACAAUCAAUUGUACAACAAAAUAAAUUGAAAUGAACCAAAGCCAAUUCUCCAAAAAGGAGAUAUAGUAUUGACAUAUUCUACAAGGAAAUUAUAUGAAUAGUGUAUAACUAGGAUUAUGGUCAGAAGGUUCAACAAAAGAUUGUUGAUGAGAUUCUUCUUUCCUAGUAUGCCCUCAUGAGAUGGCGGAUCCAUUAGAUACAUCAAUCUUGAACCAUAAAGAUGAAAAAUGUUGCUUAGCUAACGACUUUGUAAAGACAUCAACUGGUUGAUUGUGUGAGAAAACAUAAGAAAUAGUUAGCAUAUCAUGACAACAAUUUUGUCCCUAACAAAAUGAUAGUUAAAGGAAACAUGUUUCAUUUGGAAAUAGAAGAUUGAGAAUCAAUCCAUGUUAAUUUGGCAGCAAUGGAAGCAUUGGCCCAAUACUCAAUUUCCAUGGAAGACCGAGCCACUGUUCUUUGCUUUUUAGAACACCUAGAAAUUGUAGCACCAAGACAACUAACACAAGCCGAUAUUGAUGUAAAGUCAUCCCGAUUUCCUACCCAAGCAACAUUGGAGUAGACAAUAAUAGUGAGAGGAUGAUAACAGCAGAGCGCAAGACCAUAAUGAAUGUGUGCUAGAGAUAUCGAAGAAGUCUUUUGGCAAUUGUUUAAUGGGAAUGUGUGGGAGAAUGCAUGUAUUGAGCGACUUAUUGACAAAAUAAGUCACAUCCAAACACAUCAAUGAUAAAUAUUCCAUGGCACUUACAAUGCUUUAAUAGAAAGUAACAUCAACAAAAGGCUUACUUUUGUGAUAACUUUUGUGAUGAUGGAACAACCUCCAUGCCUAAGAAGAAGUGAUCGCUAAGGUCAUUGUUAGAGAAUUUAAAGGCAAGAGUCUGAAUGAAUUCUCAAAUAACAGUAUCAGAGUUUCCCGUGACAAUCAAAUCAUUUACAUGUACAAAAAAGUAUAUUGUAAUGCCACUGAAAUUAUGUAGAAACAAUAAGGUAUUAAUUUACAAUUGGUGAAACCAAAGGAAACGACGAAAUCUUUGAACUCAUUGUACCAUGCUUGUGGAGCUUAGUUGAGGCCAUAAAAGGGUUUUAUGUAGCGUGGCAUAUAUUAGUAGGCCUGGUGUCAUCAAUGAAGUUUGAGUGGUUGUGACAAGUUGGUGAAUGAAUAGAUAGUUCAAAAAGGCAUUGCUAACAUCUAUUGAUGAAUUUGUAACCACCAAUUGAGAGCAACAGUUAGAAGUAGGUGAAUGGUUGUAGGUUUAACCACCAGGUUGAAUGUGUCAUGGUUGUUUGUGCCUACAGACCCACUUGCAUCCCUGUGAUGUUUUGUCAAAGAUGGAACUAAUUCUCAUGUACGAUUUGUAAUGAUGGCAUUGAUUUCAUUAGUUGUGGCUUCUCUCCACUUAAAGUUUGACUAGUACAGGGAGAUUCAAAGAUUGUGUAGGCAACGGGUGUUUAGUAGCAUGAUACAAGUGCUUAGGUUAAAAUUUUGGUUUUAUAAACGAGUGAUCAUUUGGUGGGUAUGGGUAGGUUAAAGAUAGGGAAGGCAACGGGACGGGUUUUUUCGGGUACCCGUCCCUAAUGGGAUGUGAUUUAAAUUUAAUAAACGGGUUUGGGAUGAGUAUGAGAUUUUUUUUAAACCUGAGGCGGGUUCAGGUAUUGUCCCAUCCCGUCCUGUCCCGUCUCGUUUACAUAUAAAAUUAAAUUUAAUUUAAAUUUUAAAAUUAAUUUAAUUUAAAAUUUUAUUUUACUAUUUUUAAUAUAUAGAUAAUAAUAAAAAAAUUUUAAUAAAAUAAGUUAUAAAAAAUAUAAUAAUUUUAUUAUUUAUAAAAUAUAUUUAUUUUAAUAUAAUUAAAAAAUUUAAAAGUAAAUUUUUUUAAAAAAAAUUAAAUUAAAAAAAGCUAAACGAGGUGGGGCGGGCUAUUUGAACUUGGGUCAUAUCAUGCAUAAGAACUCUAGUUUAGUGGCUACAGCUUGAAUCAAAGCUACAAACACUAAGUUCAAAACUUCAAAGUUAUGACUUCUCCUUCUCAAGACAAAAGCUGUACUCUUUCCCUCUCAAGCAUUAUGUUAGAAGUUCAGAAAUAGAUGAAUAAGUCCCCAAAACCCCAGCCAAAAUUCCAAAUACAAUUAUCCCAACAAUGCCCAUCUGCUCACAGUUCCAAUUCCAAUUGAGAUCAGAAAUCUUCAAGUAGCACAAGCAUGGGAGCAGAAAAGAAGCCGAAGCAACAAAAACUGACCCAACAAUGGCCAUCAAGGACUCGUAAUAUGGGAAGACAUAGGCCACAAUAACAGUACUGAUCAGCAAUGCUACUCUUAUGAGCAAUCUCACCGGUUUCUGAUUCUUGUACUUUUCUGAUAGUCCACCUUCAAUGGCAGUUGCAAUUGGGGCUACCAACAAGGAAUAUCUAGUAACUGGAAUAAGUAAAGUUGUUUAUAUUGCAACUCUUCCACUAACUUUACUCGUUGGUAAUUUCUGAUUCAACACCAUCUCCAUACAUAAGAUAGCCCAAUAUCGCUAUUGUCAUGUAGUUGAGAGUUGCCAGAACAAAACUAAACAUCAAGACAGAUCAAUAAACACAAAAGACCAACAGUUUUAGAUGUCUAUUCUUAAGACCUUGCUGUAUAAGUUGACUGUAAACCAAGAAAAAGCAGGCAGCAACUGCCUCUAUGUAUCAGUUUCAGGCUUUCGACAAUGUCAAUUGCAAAUAAUAUUUUUAAGCAGUUUAUAUAACUGUUUCUAUGGAGAUUACUACACAGACUAAAUAAGAAAAUCGAUCACAUGACGAUCUCUAGGCAACCACGGAGAAAUAGUUUUUUCAUAAGGUGUAAGUAAAAUGAAUGAUGUUAAAGUUUCAGCCUUACUGAACUGGCAGGAAUCUCACAUAGACAUGUAUAUUGAAGGGAUGACUGGGUGUCCACCAAAUGAAACAAUAUAUAAGCCAACUGCUGUAGGAAGAGUAUCGAGAUUUAACAGAACACUUCCUUUUGCAUGAAAACCAACACCGUCGAAUGCACCAACACAAAAGAUGGAGACGACAAUGACAAGGCAAGAGAAUACUCCAGUGGCCGAGAUAUAGGAGAGCAUACUCAAGUCAGUUAACAACAUUGAUGGUGAAAGUAAUAGUCCUGUGAUUAUAACGAAUGACUGUUUUCCAUCUAGUGUCAAUGCCCCAAGUUUAAUCAUGAACUCUGGAAAAAGCUUUUGUAAGUUGUCACAUUCUAAUAUCAAAAACCCUGUUGCAAUAAGGUACAUCUCUGCAUUCAUCAUAAACAUGACUAUCAUUCUUCCUUUCAUACCAAAUGCACGCUCUGCAAUAUCAUAAUAACUUCAAAUAGAUUGAUCAACUUCCAUACAACGCACUAUUAAAAGCCCGGUGUAAAAGGUCAUAGCUGCAAUUGAGAAGAAGAGCACCAAACUCAACCAACCUCCACUUGAGAGGGCAUAAGGGAUUGUUAGAAAACCAAUUCCUGUGAAUGUCAAAACAAGCAACAAAAACCCUUAUCUAUUACUCAUGAAGGAAUAGAAGAAACAGGAAAAAAUGGAGAAAGAAGUGACCAUGUCCCUAAGCUUACGCAGGAAUGAGUUUGUGCCAUUAAAACUAGCUUUCAUGAAACUUGAUGAGCCAGGAGUUCGAAUCAGAGGGAUCCUUAGCUCGUUAAUCCCCAUUGUCUUCUUUUGAUUUAAUAUUGCAUUUAAUCAACAGAUUCCCAUCUCCACUUCUAUGAACUGUCUCUGCAUGGAUAACUAAAUAUAUGGAUGCAUGGACAAGAAAUUAGGACAGAAGUGGAAAAUAUGAAUGAAUGGUCAGAAGCAACGGGAUUGUCUUUACUUCUUACCUUGAAAGAAGCCGGAUAGACAUUUAUCUUUUCUCUAAAUUGCUAUGAAAAUUGACCUGGUGCUGCACCUGGUGAACAUUUCGAUUAUCUGCACCUCAUUUUCCCACAAGCUUUCCCGAACUAAACAUAGCUUAAGACAAACAUACAACCAUUUUCCUCAGCACUCCUUUAUUUCCUUGAGCACUUGUUGACUUAAGUCAAUGGGAUCCUCAGCACAUUCUUUGCUACUAUUCCAUAGUUGAUUUAGUAGCACACUUAACUGUAUCGUUUGUAUCUUCAUGUCUAACUACACCGUUUGUAUCCUCGUGUCUACUUGAUGGAUACCAUACACAUGCAUGGACAAGAGAGAGAGACAUAAGCAGAAAAUACAAAUGAAUGGGAAGCCCAGGAAGUUGUUGUAUGUACCAUAUAAAAGGAAAAACAGAAGGAAGGAGAUGUGGUUGGGUAAAUUCUAUAUUUGAAUUAGUAGCACACUUAACUAUAUAGUUUGUAUCUUCGUGUCUACUUGAUGGAUACUUAAUUUACACAUGCAUGUACAAGAGAGAGAGAUAAGCGGAAAAUACAAAUGAGUGGGAAGCACAAGAAGUGUCAAAUGCACCGUAUAAUGGAAAAGAAAUAUAUAAAAAGAGAGGGGAGUGGGUGGAGCUGGGGCUGGGGGAUUUGCUUGAUUUCUUACGUAUGAAGAAACUGGCAUCUUUCCCUAGAUUGCUGUGAGAUCAGAUAUUACUUACCUGCAAAGCAUGUGAAUCCAAAAGAUUUUGAGGAAAAAUGACAGUGGGGUUCUUCUAAAGUGACUUUUCACAUUAUUUGGAGUUCAAUAUAGAGAAUGGAGACACACCGAGAUUCAACAUCAUAAAUAUACGUACCUGUACCUAGCUUUUGACAGUGGAAUACAAGAAUCAAAAUACAUGGCUGAUGAGAACCUAAGGAGCUGUAGAGUCUGUAACUUGGGUGGCAGUCCAGUAGCUAGUCUUACAAAUUGAAGCAAAAGACUACUGAAGCUUAUUACCUAUAAUGAUGAGAAGACAGCCUCUACAUCAUUGUAAGUAUUGAAGCAUCAGCAGCAGAAGAAGAUCAAAGAAGAUCGAUAUACACUUAUACUGAAGCUUUCGAGGCAUGGAAAAACAAAAAUAACAUAAAAAAACAAUUAAAUCUAGCUUAUCAUCUACCUUUCAACCUUUUCAACUGCUUUCCAAAUGUCAUCUACGAUUCUUAAUCACUUGAAGUAGUGAAUCAUAGACAAACAAUGGGUAGAUGAUUCUUACAAAAAUCAAUUUUGUAAGAAGCUACCGAGACAUUAUCAUAUUGAUGAUAAGCUGCUUCCAUACAUGGUUUUUGUAGAACUUCCCAUGGAAAAGCUCAUGCAAUAACUAAUUCCCGUGAAAUUAAAACAUGUGAAAUAAUUGUGUUUAUAAACUGAUCAAAGAAAUGAGGAAGAAUGGAAAGAGUAGAGGAAGCAAUUUUUCUGAGUUUAGCAUAGCAUACCUGCAAAGUUUGUUGAAAUCCAAGGGAUUUAGAGGAAAAAUUAAGGUAGGAUUAUCCUCUCUAUAAACAAUGGCCUUUUGAUGAAAUGGUUGCUCUAUUUUCUUUGAUUACAAAGUGUAUAAAAUAUAUACAUGUGAGGGAGGUCAUGAAGCAAAAAAAUUAAGCCACACUGCUUCGAGCCAAUAGCAAAAAAUAUGAAGAAGUGGGCAUGAUCCAGAAAUUGUGGAAAGUCCUUAAUUGAUUAUGAACAUGUGAUGGAAUCGAUGGUUGAUUCCUCAAUUUUUUUUCAUUAUAUUAAGGCCAUCUUUUACUAGUACUUUUCAACAUGCAUGUUGGUCAUUAGAAGUGGCUUUUUAAAUAUAAAAGAGACACCUUCUUUUAUAUUCAUUAUUAAUCUUAUCAUCAUUUAAAAUGCAUGGUUCAUCUGGAUAUUAAGUUCUUGGGACACAUAUUACCAAGCUAUCUUAUCAUCUCCCUCAACAUUUUCAGCUGCCUUGCAUGCUAUCUGCCAUUCUUAAUUUCCAGUCUAGCUAAUGGUGCGUGAGUUCCUUUCUGAUUCCAUUAAGAGGGGUAGUUCAAGGUCAAGCCAAAAAUGAGAAUAUCAUCUGUCAGAGAAUUAAAAAAAAAAAAAAAAGAAAAAAAAAAAAGAAGAAUAUUGGUAUAAAGAGCAGUGUGAGGAAGGGCAGAUGGAAAUAUAGGACUUGUCAUCUACAAUCUUUUGGGUCAACUGAUUGUUAACCUAUCAAAUUUUUUGUUCUAUUUUCUGUAUGGGGUUUAUUCCUUUUAUUUGUUGAUCUCACUUGCAAGAGGACCAUGUCAAAAUUGAGGUGGUAUAUGGAGCUGCAUAAGACCAUUCUAGGCUAUACGCUCAGCACUCUUGUUUUUUUAAGCCUCCGUUUGAGAAAUAUUUUCGAAAUAAUUCCAAAAAAUAGUUUUUGAGUAGGGUUUUUAAAUAUCAUUCUUCCAUUUUUUGUACAAUUGAAAAUGAAUAAAAAAAACUAAAAGAUUUUCUCUAAAAAUAUUAUAUUUUUUGUUUUUAAGAGUAGAAAAAAAUGUUUUCUGUUUGACAAACGUGUUUUCUGAUUAUUUUUUUUUUAAAUAAAAAAUUGUUUUCGAAAUAAGUUUACUAGAACUCCAUUUUGCAGCAUGAAUAGGGGAUGAUAAAGGAGAUAUGAUGAAAGGACAAUAUGCAUAUAUCAAGUACUCUAGUUUGCGAAUUAGAGUGUCUUCAAGCACUGAUCAAGCAUUAUCUUACAAGUUCAGAAAUAGAUGAAUAAGUCCCUAAAACCCCAGCAAAUGUUCCAAAUAGAAUUAUCCCCCUAAUGCCUAUCUGCUCACAGUUCCAACCCCAAUUGAGAUCAGAAAUCUUCAAGUAACACAAGCAUGGGAGCAGAAAAGAACCCGAAACGACAAAAAUUGAUCCAACAAUUGCCAUCAGGGACUCGUAAUAGGGAAAAUAAUAUGCCACAAUAGCUGUGCUAAACAGCAAUGCUACUCUUAUAAAUAAUCUAACAGCUCUCUUAUUCUUGUAAUUUUCUGAAAUCCCGCCUUCAAUGGCAGUUGCAAUUGGGGUUAAUACCAAUGCAUAUCUGGCGAUUGGAAUAACUAAAGUCGUAUAAAUUGCGAUUCUUGCACUAACUUUACUUGUUGGUAGAUUCAAAGUUAUUUCUGAUUCAACCCUGUCUCCAUACAUUAGAUAUCCUACUAUGGCCAUUGACAUGUAGGUGAGUGUUGCAAGAACAAAACUGAAUAGUAAGACCUGCAAAUCCAUGAAUGAAACAGCAAAGAAGUAGUUAGUUUUAGAAGCCGGUUUUGAAAAAUGAACACACUAAGACCUUCCAAUCAAAGUUGAUUAUUUGUUAUGAUGGAGAUCAAUCCAUGGAGUAUUUAUUAAGAAAAUUGCAGAUAGUCUCUGGCCAACAAGAGAGAAAGUAAUGUGAAUAAUGUUGUAAUUUUCUACCUUACUGAACUGGUAGCGGUCUCGCAUUGAUACAUAUAUUGGAGGGAUGACUGGAUGUCCACCAAAGGAAACAAUAUACAAGCUAACUGUAAUAGGUAGGCGGUCCACAUUUAACAGUAUCGAUCCCUUCGCAUGAAAGCCAACACCAUUGAAUGCACCGACACAAAAAAUGGAGACAAGGAUGACAAGGCAUGAAAAAAAUCCAGUGGCAGAGAUAUAGGAGAGAAUGCUCAAGUCGGUUAAAAAUAUUGUUGGCAAGAUUAUUAGGAAUGUGAUUAUAGCAAAUGACUGUCUUCCAUCUACUGUUAAUUCCCCAAGGUUGAUCAUGAAUUCUGGAAAUAGCUUACGCAAGUUGUCAACCUCCAGUAUCAAAAGCCCGACAGCAACAAGAUACAUUUCCAAAUUCAUAAUGAUCAUGACUGUGAUUCUUCCUUUUGUACCAAAUGCAUGCCCUGCAAUAUCAAGGUAGCUAGUAAUAGAUGGAUGAUCAGCGGCUUCCAUGCAUCGUUUUAGUAAAAUUCCAGUGUAAAAGGUCAUAAUUGCAACUAAGGAAAACGGCAUCAAACUCAACCAACCUCCAGUUGAGAGGGCAUAAGGGACUGUUAGAUAACUAAUUCCUGUGAAAUGAAAAUGUGCAAACAAUUAUGUGUCCAUAAACCAAAAGAAAGAAUAGAGAUAGCAAUUUUUUUUCUGAGUUUACCAAGGAAUGCAUUUAUGCCAUUGAAGCAAGCAUUAAUGAAACUUGAUGAUCCAGUGGUUCGUGCCAGUGGGAUCCUUAGCUCAUUGUUUGCCAUUGUUUUCUAUUCAGUUUAGUAUCUGUAUCUUCACUUCUUAUGAACUCUCCAUAAAUAACUUCUCUCAUGCAAGUAAAAGAGGGAGAUAAGGGGAAAAUAUAAAUGAAUACACAGCACAAGAAGCUGCUAUACGGACCAUCAGAAAAGAAGAGGAAAAAAAAAACCAGAUUGGCUUAACUUCUUACCUUGAAGGAAGGAGCAUUAGUAAACAUCUUUGUCUAAUUUUCUAUGAAAAUCAACCAGCUGUUGCUGUACCUCUUGAAGAUGGGAUUACCUGCAAAGCAUGUUGAAAUGCAAAAGAUUUUGAGGACAAAUUAAAGUGGGUUUCUCCUAAAACCUAUCAUUGAUAAAUGGAUUUAGACAUAUUCAACAUUAUAACUGAUAUAUACCAGCUAGAUGUAAGUUUAAAAUGCAUGGUUCACAAAAUCUAAUCAACUCCACUGUUAGAAUUGAGUGAAUAUCCUCACACAGUGAAUCCACAAGAGUUAAUCAUCAAGGCAUACUUACCUAGUAAGAUAAAAGGGCAGUCUCAACAUGCUUACAAUAAGCUAUAAACCCGAGUAGCGUCAGCAGAAGAAGAAGAAGAUGUGCACUCGACCGAAGAUUUUUGUGGCGCUUUGAGAAGGACAACGCAGAGGUCAUGAGUAAAAUACUGAAAAACUUGUUUUUCCCUUGCAAGUCCAUUAUGAGAGAUGUUCCCAUUGUUCAGAAAUCAUGGUAUAUGGUUUGUUACAGAAACCUCUGAAAUUUUGGACUCA
rnacentral:lncRNA from 1 species